rnacentral:rRNA from 1 species
GACGAGGGACCCUAGCGUUGUUCGGAAUCAUUGGGCGUAAAGAGGGUGUAGGCGGCACUAUAAGUCAGAUGUGAAAUCCCUGGGCUUAACCUAGGAAGUGCAUUUGAUACUGUAGUGCUUGAGUGUGAGAGAGGAUAGUAGAAUUUCUGGUGUAGUGGUGAAAUACGUAGAUAUCAGAAGGAAUACCGGAGGCGAAGGCGGCUAUCUGGCUCAACACUGACGGCUGAGAUCCGAAAAGUGUGGGGAUCAAACAGG